rnacentral:lncRNA from 1 species
CAAAGAAGAACAAUUCCAUUAAAAUUCCUUUUUCAAUUUAGUUAACUCAUAAGAUUCAUGUAUCUAUUAUCUCUAAUCGUAAUAAGUCGUAACAAUAGAAAUUAUAAUAACAAUAGAUAAACCUUCCUUCUCUUCCUUAACUCAUAAGCCUCUCUAUCUCUCUCCUCCUGAAUCAAACAAACACUGUUCACUUACUUGACCAAUCAAUAAAGCAUCCUCCUCCAUUUCACGAGAUCUUCGUUCUCAAUCUUCUCUGCAAUCUAGGGUUUCAGAUCUCAAUCUCUACCUCGAAUCCGUUCCCCAAUCAUGAGUCGGGAGAAGCUAAGGUUCUUCACCCUCUCGUUUCUUCUGAUCCUGAGUCCAGCGCUCUGUAGAUUCGUCGUGGAGAAGAACAACCUCAAAGUCACAUCACCCGACUCCAUCAAAGGCAUUUACGAGUGUGCCAUUGGGAACUUCGGAGUUCCUCAGUACGGUGGUACUUUAGUCGGCACCGUUGCCUAUCCCAAAUCGAAUCAGAAAGCUUGUAAAAGCUACAACGAUUUCGACAUCUCCUUCAAAUCUAAGCCUGGGGGCUUACCCACUUUUGUCCUCAUCGAUCGUGGAGGUUCCAUCUUACCCUUUGCUCAAUUAGGUUCAUAGUAUGUGGGAAUGAUUUAGUUUUUGGUUUUAGUAUGUGAAAAAGAUUCAGUUUUUGGUUAUAGUAUGUGGAAAAGAUUCAAUUUUUGAUUAUGGUGUGAGGAAGAUAUAUCAUUGUUUGGUUAUAAUAUGUGGAAAAGAUUCAGUUUUUGGUUAUAGUAUUUUGGAAAGGUUCAGUUUUUGGGUUUAGUAUGUGGAAAAGACUCAGUUUUUGGUUAUAGUAUGCGGAAAAUAUUCAAUUUUAGUAAUAGUAUAUGAAAAAAAAUCAAUUUUGGUUAUAGUAUGUGGAAAAAAUUCGUUUUUUGAUUAUAAUAUGUGGAAAAAGUUCAAUUUUUUGGUUAUAUUUUUCUGGAAAGAUUCAAACUCUGGUUAUAGUAUUUUGAAUAAUAUUCAGUUUUUGGUUAUGUUUUCUGGAAAAGAUUCAAUUUUUGGUUAUAGUUUGUGGAAAAGAUUUGUAUUUUGGAACUGAAUGUGAGUUUGUUUUUGUGAACACAGACUGUUUCUUUACUUUGAAAGCAUGGAUAGCUCAACAAGCUGGAGCAGCAGCGAUUCUUGUAGCUGACAACAAAGCUGAGCCAUUGAUCACUAUGGAUACACCUGAAGAGGAUAAGUCAGAUGCGGAUUAUCUUCAAAACAUUACCAUUCCUUCAGCUCUCAUCACCAAGUCUUUGGGAGACAGUAUAAAGUCUGCUCUCUCCGGUGGUAAUAAGUUUACAUUUUUGUUUUCUUUAAUUAAAAUAUGUUAAACUGGUACAGUAGGUUAAUUAACCUAAUAAACCGAUAAACUUAAAUAAAAUUGAAUCAAUAUAUAUAUAUAUAUAUAUUUAUACCAAAUAUGAUAUAUAAGUUGAUGUAUAAAUCUAUUUGUAAUUAUAUUUAUUUUAUUUUUCACUAUUGUGAUAUAUAGUUUUAAUAUCAAGCACCCGCCAACGUGCAGAAAAUUCAGAUCUUCUAAUUUUCAGUAAAGUAUGAAAAAUAUUAAGGUAAUCAACAAUGUUUUAGUUCCAGUGAUGAUGAUAACAAAUAUAGUCUUAUUGUCUGUAAUGUGAUUUGGUUAACUUUUCUCAAUUUUUUAUAAGUUCAUUACGAAGUGAAGAAGAAGACAGAGAGAGAUAAUAAAACAACCAAUAGACGCCAAUCCAUUGGAAAUAGUGCUUUCUAGGAGAUCCCAACCCAAGUUAUAAGAAAAUCAUCACCAAACCGGAGCUCUCGAGGCUCAAAACCAUCAUGUAAAAUUUCAAACACUAACAUUACUUUUAGGAGAGGGAGAAGAACAACAAAGGAUAACCAGGCUGCACUAUUUUCUUUUCCAAUUUAUCUAAUAUUAAGAGAAAAAAAAAAUUCACAAGACCCAAGUUUUAGUGUUGAAUAAUAGUAAGGUGAAUUGUUUGCUAAUGUUUCUUACAAUCAAACAGGAGAUAAUGAGAGGAGCAAGUGGGUGACAGGUCGUACCACCCUGCUGCCAUCUCACCAAGCAGGGUUGGAAUCCUACAAAUGCCUUUAAUAAGAAGAAUUACUAGGCCAUUGUGCCACAGAUGAUAAAAAAAAAUUAAGUUGAAGAUAACUGAUGAGUAUUACGAUUCUGAAUAAAACAUCUAUCAUUUUUUUUUUUUUGAAAAACAGAUGAAUUUUGUCGGCCAAUUAUGUAUUGGCAGUAUCCCCAUAUUCAAUAAUUCAACUUUCCAAAUUUGACUUACAAAUAAGAAAUUUGUGAAUUUAUGACACGAGUGAAUUGGAUAUGAACAGGAAGAAAUAAUAUUUUACCAUUGAAUUCUGAUCAAUUAAGAUUAUUUAUUUUUAAGAUUUUUUUAUAAUUUAAAUUAGUAUUUAAAUAUCUAGAUGAAAGAAAUUAUAAGUUAUUAUUAAGCUACAGAAAUGGUAUAUCAGUAUCUUAAAAAUGUUGCUUCAAGAAGUUGUAGUAGGAAAUAGUUUUCAUAAUUUAUGUCUCAUGUUACAAUAUAAAAAACUUGCCCUAACAAUAAAUAAAAUUAAAUAGCCAACUAAUCAUGGCAACUACAGCAAAUGUAGUUGGACACAUUCUCAUGAUGUUAGAAACUAACCACUACAAUCCAAAAAUAGAAACAAACUCAUAGUUGGACUGCUUUUAAAUAUGUACAUACGAAUUAAAAUAUUUACAUUGUAAAACAUACAUUCUAACUCAUUUUAAACUAUAUUAUUAAUCAAUGAUGGGGAGUUGCAAAACAUAAGUAAUUGAAAAUAUAAAUUUGUUGUGGUGACAAGAAAUUAUCUCCAAAAUAUUCAAGGUAAUAACAAAUAUAAAUUUAAAGGCUUAUAAUACAUACUGAUUAAUAAAUUUUAUUUAAAAAGAAAUUAUUAUUUAGCUAAGAAGAUUAUCAUCAAGAAAACAUAACUAAGAGCAAUUUUAGUGCGACAUAUUCGAAGCUUUCUAUGUAUUCUAAACUCAAUUUUAGUAUUUUGGCAAACAAAUAAAAAAAAUAUUACAAAAAUGAGAGAAAAAAUGUUAUAUGCAACAAAAAUCAGAGCAUGUCUCUCCUAAAAUACUAUAUUCUACACACUAGAUAGUUUAUGAACACAAAAACAUUGUACAAUAUUUGAUAUUAACAUAACAAAAUCAUUAAUAUAAUUUAAAUAGUAAUUAUUCGCGCGUAGCGCGGAAAACGACCUAGUAAACAUAAAUUUACGGAGACGACAAAGAAGAACAAUUCCAUUAAAAUUCCUUUUUCAAUUUAGUUAACUCAUAAGAUUCAUGUAUCUAUUAUCUCUAAUCGUAAUAAGUCGUAACAAUAGAAAUUAUAAUAACAAUAGAUAAACCUUCCUUCUCUUCCUUAACUCAUAAGCCUCUCUAUCUCUCUCCUCCUGAAUCAAACAAACACUGUUCACUUACUUGACCAAUCAAUAAAGCAUCCUCCUCCAUUUCACGAGAUCUUCGUUCUCAAUCUUCUCUGCAAUCUAGGGUUUCAGAUCUCAAUCUCUACCUCGAAUCCGUUCCCCAAUCAUGAGUCGGGAGAAGCUAAGGUUCUUCACCCUCUCGUUUCUUCUGAUCCUGAGUCCAGCGCUCUGUAGAUUCGUCGUGGAGAAGAACAACCUCAAAGUCACAUCACCCGACUCCAUCAAAGGCAUUUACGAGUGUGCCAUUGGGAACUUCGGAGUUCCUCAGUACGGUGGUACUUUAGUCGGCACCGUUGCCUAUCCCAAAUCGAAUCAGAAAGCUUGUAAAAGCUACAACGAUUUCGAC